rnacentral:rRNA from 1 species
UACGUAGGUGGCAAGCGUUGUCCGGAUUUAUUGGGUUUAAAGGGUGCGUAGGCGGGUAUUUAAGUCAGAGGUGAAAGACGGCCGCUCAACGGUCGCAGUGCCUUUGAUACUGGAUAUCUUGAGUGCAGACGAGGCCUGUGGAAUGGAUGGUGUAGCGGUGAAAUGCUUAGAUACCAUCCAGAACACCAAUUGCGAAGGCAGCAGACUAGGGUGCAACUGACGCUGAGGCACGAAAGUGCGGGGGAUCAAAACAGG